GACGAACCGUGCAAACGUUGUUCGGAAUCACUGGGCUUAAAGGGCGCGUAGGCGGACGACCAAGUCAGGGGUGAAAUCUUUCGGCCCAACCGGAAAAGGGCCCCUGAUACUGGCCGUCUCGAGGGAGGUAGGGGUCGAGGGAACUAAUGGUGGAGCGGUGAAAUGCGUAGAUAUCAUUAGGAACGCCGGUGGCGAAAGCGCUCGACUGGACCUCUUCUGACGCUGAGGCGCGAAAGCCAGGGGAGCAAACGGG
rnacentral:rRNA from 1 species